rnacentral:rRNA from 1 species
CACUGACAUUAGAUACCCGCGUAGUCCAGGGUGUAAACGCUGCAGACUUGGUGUUGGAGGCCCUUUGGGGGCAUUCAGUGCCGGAGAGAAGUUGUUAAGUCUGCUACUUGGGGAGUACGUCCGCAAGGAUGAAACUUAAAGGAAUUGGCGGGGGAGCACCGCAACGGGAGGAGCGUGCGGUUUAAUUGGAUUCAACACCGUAAAACUCACCAGGGAAGACUGUUACAUGAAGGCCGAGAUGAAGACUCUGCUAGAUUUUCAG